rnacentral:rRNA from 1 species
UGGGGAAUUGUUCACAAUGGGCGCAAGCCUGAUGACGCAACGCCGCGUGGGGGAUGAAGGUCUUCGGAUUGUAAACCCCUGUCGAAUGGGACGAAAGACUCGCGAGUUAAUACUUCGCGGGAGUGACGGUACCGUUAAAGGAAGCCACGGCUAACUCUGUGCCAGCAGCCGCGGUAAUACAGAGGUGGCAAGCGUUGUUCGGAAUUACUGGGCGUAAAGGGCGCGUAGGCGGCCUACUAAGUCAGACGUGAAAUCCCCCGGCUUAACCUGGGAACUGCGUCUGAUACUGGAAGGCUUGAGUAUGGGAGAGGGAUGUAGAAUUCCAGGUGUAGCGGUGAAAUGCGUAGAUAUCUGGAGGAACACCUGAGGUGAAGACGGGUUGCUGGGCUGACACUGACGCUGAGGCGCGAAAGCCAGGGGAGCAAACGGGGAUUAGAUACCCCAGUAGUCCCUGAGCGGGCUGGCAAGGCGCAU